UUCCUACGGGGCGCAGCAGUGAGGAAUAUUGGUCAAUGGUCGGGAGACUGAACCAGCCAAGCUGCGUGAGGGAUGAAGGUACAGAGUAUCGUAAACCUCUUUUGUCAGGGAACAAAGGCGGGGACGCGUCCCCGGAUGAGUGUACCUGAAGAAAAAGCAUCGGCUAACUCCGUGCCAGCAGCCGCGGUAAUACGGAGGAUGCGAGCGUUAUCCGGAUUUAUUGGGUUUAAAGGGUGCGCAGGCGGUCUGUUAAGUCAGCGGUCAAAGCCCGGGGCUCAACCCCCGCCCGCCGUUUAAAAUUGCAG
rnacentral:rRNA from 1 species